UACGUAGGCAGCAAGCGUUGUUCGGAGUUACUAGGCGUAAAGAGUGCGUAGGUGGUGCCCUAAGUCUGUUGUGAAAUCUCCCGGCUUAACUGGGAGGGUGCGGUGGAAACUGGGGUGCUUGAGUGUGGGAGAGGUAAGCGGAAUUCCUGGUGUAGCGGUGAAAUGCGUAGAUAUCAGGAGGAACACCGGUGGUGUAGACGGCUUACUGGACCACGACUGACACUGAGGCACGAAAGCGUGGGUAGCAAACAGG
rnacentral:rRNA from 1 species